rnacentral:rRNA from 1 species
UGGGGAAUUUUGGACAAUGGGCGAAAGCCUGAUCCAGCAAUGCCGCGUGUGUGAAGAAGGCCUUCGGGUUGUAAAGCACUUUUGUCCGGAAAGAAAUCCUUGGCUCUAAUACAGUCGGGGGAUGACGGUACCGGAAGAAUAAGCACCGGCUAACUACGUGCCAGCAGCCGCGGUAAUACGUAGGGUGCAAGCGUUAAUCGGAAUUACUGGGCGUAAAGCGUGCGCAGGCGGUUUGCUAAGACCGAUGUGAAAUCCCCGGGCUCAACCUGGGAACUGCAUUGGUGACUGGCAGGCUAGAGUAUGGCAGAGGGGGGUAGAAUUCCACGUGUAGCAGUGAAAUGCGUNGAGAUGUGGAGGAAGUACCGAUGGCGAAGGCAGCCCCCUGGGCCAAAUACUGACGCUCAUGCACGAAAGCGUGGGGAGCAAACAGGAUUAGAUACCCUGGUAGUCCACGCCCUAAACGAUGUCAACUAGUUGUUGGGGAUUCAUUUCCUUAGUAACGUAGCUAACGCGUGAAGUUGACCGCCUGGGGAGUACGGUCG